rnacentral:misc_RNA from 1 species
GGAUCAUCACCUGCUUUUCCAGGCUCAAUGUUGCAAUCACAGAAAGGUUUUCUGUCGGAGCCCUCGAAGCUGCACUUCACCAGGGAGACAAGUGAAGGAACUCCAUUAAAGCAAUUCCAUGAUGUUGAAGAGAUGGCCAGGAAAUUGGAUGAUCUUCUAGAAGGUAUAGAAGGUGAAGGUGGGUUUAGAGAUGCUUCCAUCCGUGCUCAAAGCAGUUCAGUUUUGGCAUUGGAGGAAGGUAUAGAGAGUGUAUCGGAGAAAUGCAGGAUAUGGAGAGCAGUAAUGGAUAAACAA